GUUGGCUUAGAAGCAGCCAUCCUUUAAAGAGUGCGUAAUAGCUCACUAGUCGAGUAUCUCUGCGCCGAAAAUGUACCGGGGCUAAAACAUAUUACCGAAGUUAUGGAUUUGUACGUAAGUACAAGUGGUAGGGGAGCGUUCUAAGGGCGCUGAAGGUAGAUUGUGAGGACUACUGGAGCGCUUAGAAGUGAGAAUGCCGGUGUGAGUAACGUUAGGAGGGUGAGAAUCCCUCCCACCGAUUGACUAAGGAUUCCAGGGUACGGUUCGUCUUCCCUGGGUAAGUCAGGACCUAAGCCGAGGCUGAAAAGCGUAGGCGAUGGACAACAGGUUUAUAUUCCUGUACUGGCUAUAUAACUGAUGGAGUGACGGAGAAAGCUAGUAAGAGCCCAUUAUUGGAUUUGGGUCUAAGUACAAAGGAUAAUGCGUUAGCAAAUCUGCGACAUUAUAAAGUCUGAAGUACGAAUGUGAAGGUUCUACGGGACCGAAAUCUUAUGACGCUAUGCUUCCAAGAAAAACUUCUAAAGAUAUUAUAUAGUCACCUGUACCGAGAACCGACACAGGUGGUCAAGGAGAGUAUCCUAAGGUGAGCGAGAUAACCAUGGGUUAAGGAACUCGGCAAAAUUGCCCUGUAACUUCGGGAUAAAGGGAGGUCUCUUCGGAGACCCACAGAAAAAAGGCCCAAGCAACUGUUUACCAAAAACACAGGUCUCUGCUAAAGCGAAAGCUGAUGUAUAGGGGCUGACGCCUGCCCAGUGCUGGAAGGUUAAGAGGAUUAGUUAGAUGGACGCAAGUCGAUAACAUCAAAGCUUUGAAUCGAAGCCCCAGUGAACGGCGGCCGUAACUAUAACGGUCCUAAGGUAGCGAAAUUCCUUGUCAGGUAAGUUCUGACCCGCACGAAAGGCGUAAUGAUUUGGGCGCUGUCUCAACCAUGGACUCGGUGAAAUCUUAAUACCUGUGAAAAUGCAGGUUACCCGCGACAGGACGGAAAGACCCCAUGGAGCUUUACUGUAGCUUGAUAUUGGAAUCAGGCAAUGUAUGUAGAGGAUAGGUGGUAGACUAUGAAGUAUAGACGCCAGUUUAUACAGAGUCGCCCUUGGAAUACCACCCUUACGUUGUUUGAUUUCUAACUUGUUCCCGUGAUCCGGGAAGAGGACAGUGUCUGGUGGGCAGUUUGACUGGGGCGGUCGCCUCCCAAAAAGUAACGGAGGCGCCCAAAGGUUCCCUCAGAUUGGUCGGAAAUCAAUCAAAGAGUGUAUUGGUAUAAGGGAGCUUAACUGCGAGACCAACAAGUCGAGCAGGUGCGAAAGCAGGGCAAAGUGAUCAGGCGGUAGAGAAUGGAAUUGCCGUCGCUUAACGGAUAAAAGUUACCCUGGGGAUAACAGGCUGAUACCACCCAAUAGUUCAUAUAGACGGUGGUGAUUGGCACCUCGAUGUCGGCUCGUCACAUCCUGGAGGUGGAUUCGCUUCCAAGGGUUGGGCUGUUCGCCCAUUAAAGUGGCACGCGAGCUGGGUUCAGAACGU
rnacentral:rRNA from 1 species